rnacentral:rRNA from 1 species
AUACGUAGGGGGCUAGCGUUAUCCGGAUUUACUGGGCGUAAAGGGUGCGUAGGUGGUUUCUUAAGUCAGGAGUGAAAGGCUACGGCUCAACCGUAGUAAGCUCUUGAAACUGGGAAACUUGAGUGCAGGAGAGGAAAGUGGAAUUCCUAGUGUAGCGGUGAAAUGCGUAGAGAUUAGGAAGAACACCAGUGGCGAAGGCGCUUCUCUGGACUGUAACUGACGCUGAGGCUCGAAAGCGUGGGGAGC